rnacentral:lncRNA from 1 species
GGAGGGAUCUCUUUCUGGAGACUGAUCCUCUUGGAGUUUUUCCUGUGAACCUACAACACAGGCUCAAUUCUCCAAUUUGAAGUGUGUAAAUGAUGUCCCAUCAUGGUUCUCCUUCGAACUAGCUGUUCUCUCAUCUCAUGGCUUGUAGCAUGACUCUGCUGUUAGUGCAUGCCCCUGAGUGUUGAAGAUUUUGCACAGAAGAAAUGAGAAGGCAAAGAAAUCAUCUCCUUUGGGAGGACAUUUUCAGGGCAGCAGAAGGAAGACACUGCAUAUAUUUAAAUUGGGAAGGGAACUGGGAGGAAGGAUCAUUAUUUUCACUCUAAAAAAAAACUUCCAAAUCUUUGGUAGGAGAGAUGUAUGAUGUGGCUAAACUGAGACUAGAAAUCAUCUGAUAUUUACACAGGGAGUUUUGUAUUGUUCAUUAUUUCUACUAAAAUGCCUCCAAAAGUGGUUAGAAUCAAACUGCUGUUUGGGAAAGUUCUGCAAACAAUAGAUAUAUGCUCUUUGAGAUCAAGCCCAUUAUAUGCUAUUUCUCUUUCAAUUUGUUUCCUUUUUGCUUUGUAUUUCUGUUUACUUCUUUGUUUCUGCAUUUUGAUUUCUCAUAUUGCAACUUGUAUCUGAGCCUUCCAAACAUCUUCCAUAAGAUUUCAAGAGAGUGACUCUUAAAUUUUCUUUCUCUAAAUGACGAAAACUCUCAAAUUUCAUUUUCAAAUCAUAAACAUUUGAGAACCUUUUUAUUUUCAAAAUAUAGAACCUAUUCUUCCUAAUGAUGUGUGAUAAUAGCGAAAAUCAACCAAAAUUGUGCAUUUACUUAUAACCAUCAUGACUCUAAAUAGGCACAUUUUGUGUUCAUUGCUUGCUACUAGUUGAGGAAAACUAUUUUGGAUUCUCCUAAAUCGCAUAAUUACAGAAUUUGCUACAUCUGCAUUGUUAAACUUUAAAGAAGUAUAUUGUCUCAUGUUUCAAAUGUUUUUCUUUCUUCCAUGAGCCUCUGCAUGGAAAGUAUAGAAGUAUGAACUCCAGGAAUUUUUACAAUGAGAAAGGAAGGAUGGGUUUCCAAUAAAGGAAUACAAGAGACUUAUUGCCUGCCUCAGCAAGGCACACUUAUUUGUGUG